GCCCAGGGUCCACUGGUCCGUACUCUGACAGAUAAUUAAGAAAGCAGCAGCUUUUUCUAGACGGCUCUUCCUCAUGAUUUGCAUUUUAGCCAGAGGCGACCAGUUAUAAAAAAAACAUGAUGGAAAGAUGGUAAGAAGCCAAUUAGAUGGAUGGAUGGCUGACUGACAGCUCUCUGGUAUUACUACUCCAGAUUUCAUUCUAUGUAUCCUGGCAGUUUUCAACGGGAACCAACUCUGCAGGUGGAAGUUAUUCACUCAGAGAGUGGUGACGCACUGGAACAGGUUGUCCAAGGAGGCUGUGGAUGCCCCAUCCCUGGAUGCAUUCAAGGCCAGGCUGGAUGUGUCUCUGGGCAGCCUGGUCUGGUGGUUGGCGACCCUGCACAUAGCAGGGGGUUGGAACUGGAUGAGCACUGUGGUCCCUUUCAACCCAGGCCGUUCUAUGAUUCUGUGAUUCUUCUGAGUGGAGUUAAAGAGGUAUCCUUCCUCUCUUUGUAGCUGCACAGUCACUGGGAUCAAAUUUAAAACGUGCAAAACCCCGAAUUCCUCAGAAUGCGGUGUGAAAGUGCACUUUGCUCACCGUUGUGAAAGCCAGCCGGCGAGCUUUGAGUUAUUCCCGUUAUUUCAGGAGAGGCAUAUUCCCUCUUUCUCACUAAAAGUGAGAAUACCGAGGGAAGAGAGGUGGCAGCGUGGCUAAAAUACGGAAUGAGGAAGUCACACCAACCUGUUCUGCUGCUUCGGUUGUUCAAGAGUCGGAUUUCCCGGUGUCGGAACUGCAUCACGGCAGCACUAGGUGGCAAUGUUGCUACAACGAAAACUCCCAUCGCUCCGCUCCAGCAGAGACCCCCGCCACGCUUUGCAGACAAUGCGAAGAGCUGUCGCCGCUUCGGCAGUUGCAUGGCAUCGUUUGGGUUGGCCGGGACUGCUCCGAGGUUGGCUGGUUGGUUGGCGUUUUCAUGAAGGAGCAAGUUGGAGUGAUAAAUUGGUUUUGCUUAUGGGUUUGGUCAUUCCUACUGAAUUUGCAGUGGAUCUGGGGGUUGUUGAGUAAGGCACAGAGAAAUGAGCUGCUGACAGUCGUGUUAGGAUGAGGCUCCAUCAUCUGACAAAGAUCAUGAGGACUCAAGCCUGAUCCUUAUCAUAAAAUCAUAGAAUUAUAGAAUGGCCUAGGUUGAAAAGGACCACAAUGCUCAUCCAGUUCCAACCUCCUGCUAUGUGCAGGGUCGCCAACCAGCAGACCAGGCUACCCAGAGACACAUCCAGCCUGGCCUUGAAAUAAUAAUAUCACUCAUGAGACCAUGGAAAGAAUAUAACUUGUACCUUCCCUCGUGUGCUAAUUCCAGUGAAAUCAAAGCCAAAAUUGUGGGGUAUAAAGUUUAGGGUGUGGGCAGCUUUUUCCAAGAUUAGUGCAUCUGAAGAAGAGUGAGCCAAUGGAAGCACGGAACAGCUAGCAGUUCAAUCUGUGUUUAAUCAACUACAGAGAAACAGCGUUCAUCAGGUCAUGAUGCUGAGGGGGCUCUGCACACUCCAAGUAUUUAUUUUAAUCCUCCUUAAUACCCACCAUUUGCAGUUAUAGUAAACUGCAAACUGCAGCUCUGGUUACCAAUAGGAUAAGCGACACUUCUGGUCUGAGUUUACCUCAUCGCUCAAGGGAUCAUCAUGAAAAUUCAGAUUUUAAUUCCAUUUUAAAGAAAAUGUUGCAUCCUGCUGACAGUAGCUGUGAUGGAUGAGAGUAAAAAUGGCCAAAGUGCAGAAAAAUCUUCUACCCUUUGCCAGGGAAGGGGAGUGGGCUGCACAUCCUGCAUUUCUACUGCAAAGGAUGCUCCAAAAGUAAUGCCUUCUAUUUUAUUGUCUUGGGCCACGACGUCAGAGGCAGAUGUCGGUGGGAUGACAGUAGAUACUGAGUCUUCCCACCAAUAUCCUGCUACAUUUUGUUCUGUGUGACAGACAACAGCAGAAAGACAGUCUGAAAGUACGGCAUCUGACAUGGAAAUGGGUAUGGAGCAAAGGUGUGUAAUUGAAUUCUUCCUUGAAGAAAAAGCAGCACCUACUGACAUUCAUUGAUGCUUACCGAAUGUUUAUGGAGACCAAACAGUGGGUUUGAGCACAACAAGGGGUGGGUUUUGUAUUUCUGCAGUGGUGAUAAUGACAUGAAAUACAAACCAUGUUCUAGACAGCCAUGCACAGCUGUCAGACCAUGAACUGAAGACAGUCUCAAUCAGCUCAUCCACACAUUCUGCUAAUGGUGAUGAUUGUUUUUUGUAGCUGAGAAUUCACUCUAUUCAAUAGUGUUAUUUUGUUCUUUGUAUGCAUUGUACCUUCCAUGGAAAUAUAUGCAUUACUUCUAGAGCGACCUAUGUAGUUUAUGAACAGUUGGAUUCUCAUAAUGGAUACUCAGAGGGUGGUGACACAUUGGAACAGGUUGCUCAAGGAGGUUGUGGAUGCCCCAUCCCUGCAGGCAUUCAAGGCCAGGCUGGAUGUGGCUCUGGGCAGCCUGGUCUGCUGGUUGGUGAUGCUGCACAUAGCAGGGGGGUUAAAACUCGAUGAUCAUUGUGGUCCUUUUCAACCCAGGCCAUUCUAUGAUUCUAUGAUUACAUGAUUAUAUGAUACUAAAUUAAUUGGUGGUGAAUUGCACCAGAGUUAUACAGGGGUCAGCAUCAAACCUUGUGCAGCUUCUCAGUGAUGACCAGUGAAGUUCUUACAUGAUGCUCAUAAGGAUCCAGAGAGGCAUCAGUGGUAGAACGAAGGGUCUAAGCAAUCCAUUAUUCCUGCCUUGUUGAUUGUGAGCAAUAUUGAGUCAGAUUUUCUUAUUCUGUUAGCUUUAGUUAUCAGUUAAGUAAACGCUGUUUUUCUUUACCUCUUACAUGAAGAUCACCUGCCAGAUCUGUUACUAGAAUCUCAUAGCAUGUUUUCUCAGAGUAGUGAUUACAUAUAUAUAUAUAAUUAAUUUUGUAAUGAAUUGUAUUAUGUUGUAAAAUAUUGUAUUUUAUCCUUCCGGAGCAACAGGAGAAAUUACAGGCCUUGUUCGAGGUGUGUUCAAAGGAGAAUUUAGAAUUACUCUUUGGAUUUCUUUCGAGUGGUGAGGAAGGAAUUCAUCUUUAUUAUUACUUUGGAGUCUCUUCGAUUUUCUAUAUAAGUCAAAAGUAAUAAAAUGGAUGAACUUAUCAGAGUUUUGUAUAAGUAUGUGCACCCAAGCACUUGAGGUUGUUUAAUGGACUUACUCUUCAAACAGUAAAUGCAGAGCUUCUUGAAGAUUUUCAGUGGAAAAAAGUGAGUAAGGCUUUGAAUCAGUUUUCCUUUGUAAGUCUCUCAUUUAUGUAGGCUAUUUUAAAAUGAACAUGUUAUUGGACUUCUCUAUAAGGGUGGAAUUUGAGCUAAUUUAGGUGGAUAUUUUUCUUUAUUUUGAAACAAUCUUUUUAAUGAAUAUUUAUCUCACAACUGGUAUUGUAUUUGCAUAUUUCUACAGUGAGCAAGGCUGUGACUUCUCUAAGUCAAAUUUUCUUGUUUGGUGGGAUAAAUCCAUGAUCUAGUGCCUAGAAAAGAGAAUGUGUCUGGCAGUGGGCAGAGCUGAGAAGCCUGCAUUGGGAAUGGCUCAAAUAGCCUAUAAAAAUGCUGUCUUAAUGUUGGAAUAAUCUCAGUGCUGGAUCAAAUUCUUAAAGUUUCACUGUCCCUUGUAGAAAAUAUUAUUGAGAGUAAUACUGAAAAACAGAAGAACAAGAAUAAAGCCCUGCUAGAGUAUACUGUCUGAAGAGUUUCACUUCCCUUUUUUAUAAUGCCAUUUAGUACUGUGAAAAUAGACAAUUCAGUUUCUCACCUUGAGCCAUACAUUUAGAUUGGAAGGGGAAAAAAGGAUGAAACAAGGGAUUUUUGGUGUUUUUUAGCCGUAUGAACACACAUAGACUUUGUCAGCACAGUAAAGUUGUGCUGAUAUCUGAGGAAAAGUCAGAAGCAGCUGAAAGACAGAAAGUUUAAAGAAGUGAAAAGAUGUGCAUUUCUGGCCUUAUUCAUGUCUCAUUAGCUUCUGGCACACUGUAUUGCCUAGACUAGCAAAAACAGGUUUUCUUUCUCCUUUUUCAUGCAAAUUUGAAC
ensembl:lncRNA